GAAGAGGAUCCUCAGGGCGAUCACAUGUGGUUGUUUCGGUGGCCAAGAGGGCAAGACUUCCGCGCAGGAGCACACUCUGCAGCAAUCACAUCACCCAGGCAAGGAACCAGUUGGAUCUUCUGAAGCUGGAGAGCGCCUACCGCGGAACAGGAGGAUAGUUGGUCGCUCCGAGAGCGAGGAGUCGGACUGAGCCGCUCCACCACCUUAUCUCAUUGUGUUAUCCAUUUGUACAAUUUAUUUCUCCUUGCUUUUAUUUGCUUUAAAUCGGUUUGUUUGAGCCUUCCUCGAAUUUAUUUUCACAAGCAGGGAUGGUGUAAAGUAAGGCUGGGGGAGGCGAUUGUGUGAAACUAAUCUCCCUUUUUUUUCUUUUGGCUUUUAUGUUUGAGUCAGUCCUUGUGUUUUUAUCGAGUUAGUCCAAACUCUUGUGGGAAUUAUGACCCUAUUCUGUGAUGAUCUUUUAACUACCUCGUGUUCUAACUUUCUUAUUCAGUGACCUUAGCAGU
rnacentral:lncRNA from 1 species